rnacentral:tRNA from 1 species
CGGGGUGUAGCUCAGUUGGUAGAGCGCGGGCAUGGGGUGCCUGAGGUCGCACGUUCAAGUCGUGUCACCCCGACCA